UACGUAGGGUGCAAGCGUUGUCCGGAAUUAUUGGGCGUAAAGGGCUCGUAGGCGGUCCAUCGCGUCGGGAGUGAAAAGCUGGGGCUCAACCCCAGUCCUGCUUCCGAUACGGGUGGACUAGAGGUAUGCAGGGGAGAACGGAAUUCCUGGUGUAGCGGUGAAAUGCGCAGAUAUCAGGAGGAACACCGAUGGCGAAGGCAGGUCUCUGGGCCACUACUGACGCUGAGAAGCGAAAGCAUGGGGAGCGAACAGG
rnacentral:rRNA from 1 species